GACGAACGCUGGCGGCGUGCUUAACACAUGCAAGUCGAACGGAAAGGCCCUGCUUUUGUGGGGUGCUCGAGUGGCGAACGGGUGGGUAACACGUGAGUAACCUGCCCUUGACUUUGGGAUAACUUCAGGAAACUGGGGCUAAUACCGGAUAGGAGCUCCUGCUGCAUGGUGGGGGUUGGAAAGUUUCGGCGGUUGGGGAUGGACUCGCGACUUAUCAGCUUGUUGGUGGGGUAGUGGCUUACCAAGGCUUUGACGGGUAGCCGGCCUGAGAGGGUGACCGGCCACAUUGGGACUGAGAUACGGCCCAGACUCCUACGGGAGGCAGCAGUGGGGAAUAUUGCACAAUGGGCGGAAGCCUGAUGCAGCAACGCCGCGUGCGGGAUGACGGCCUUCGGGUUGUAAACCGCUUUCGCCUGUGACGAAGCGUGAGUGACGGUAAUGGGUAAAGAAGCACCGGCUAACUACGUG
rnacentral:rRNA from 1 species